ensembl:rRNA 5S_rRNA 5S ribosomal RNA
GCUUACGGCCAUACCAGCCCAAGAACGCCCGGUGUCGUCUGAUCUCGGAAGCUAAGAAGGCUUGGGCCGGCUUAGUACCUGGAUGGGAGACCUCCUGGGAAUACCAGGUGGUGUAAGCU